AGCAGUGAUUACCACCCUCCAAAGGUGAGCCCGUGAGCUAAACCACAGAUAUCUAAAUUCUAUGGUUCCAAGAAAAUGAAACAGAAAGAGGUCCUUUCAGUUCUGUUAGAUCCAAAGCAAACACCCCUGUAGGCCAGGUGGGGGCUGCAGGGGCUGUAUUUUGACUUAGGCAUUAACCAGGGUAACCAAGUGAUCAAGCGCUCUAAACUGAAGAAGGAGGAAAGGAAAGCAGCAGGGCUCCUGCUGACGACCUUUUUUUGAGCAGGUGACUCCUCCCUCCUCAGCUGGGUAAUUGGAUUGCCUCGACUACUCUGUGAUGCCCAGUGAACCUUCCAAGAGAGUACAACACCUCUCUGUACUGUCUGUCCCGCCUGAGCCCGCCCUGGUCCAGCAAAUGCCUACCUGUGGACUCUUUUCUGUGGGCAGCAAACUCCCUGUUAUGGGAUAUGACUGGAGAAGAGAGAAUUGUCUCCUGGUGAACAGACUCCAGAAAGAGUGGCACAACCCUUUCCACCACCACCAUCCAGCCUGUUGUUCCACGACUUGCUUAACCAACCGGGGACUCAGACUUCUCACCCCUAAGUAAGGUUAGUAAGAGCAGUUCUAUGAAUUUCCUGGUGGAGUCUGAGUGGAAGAUAAAAGGACAAUUGAAAAUACUUUGUCAAGGGGUGCCUGGGUGACUCUGUCGGUGAAGCGUUGGGCUCUUGAUUUCAGCUCAGGUCAUGAUCUCAGGGUCUUGAGAUUGAGCCCCACACUGGGUUCCCUGCUCAGCACGGAGUCUGCUUGAGAUUCUCUCUCUUCCUCUCUCCCCACUCUCUCUUUCUCUCUCAAAAAGAUAAAAUCUUAAAAAAAAAAAAAAGAAAAUACUUUCUGGAAAGUUGAAAGGUAAAGACCCUAUACUUUAUGUGCUGAUCUUUGCUUCCAGUGUAACCAAAAAGGGCCAGGUGUGCACAACUGAGCCCAGUGAGAGCCAGUUAAAGUAAAGCUUCUUUCUCAGAGGUCCCGUGUGUAUGCAUUUGUCAUCAGCAUCUCAUCCUUUGAAUAAGAGGCGAGGAAAAACAUACCUGAGAGAGAAACAGAGAUGGGAAAAGGCAUGGUUCUGAUGAUGAUGGUUCAGGAAGGCAACACCUUUUCUCCAAUGGAAGUGGGAGUUCCCUGGGGGCUAGGAAGAAACGUUCUUAUAUGGCCCCCAUGAUCUGUGUGGUGUGGCCACAUCCUUCUGCAGAUAGAGGAGAAAAAGCCACUGAGCAAGGAUAAUUGAAAGUCUAUGUGAGGGUGGGGAAGCUUGAUGGUGUGAUGAUGAUGAUGGCAAUGCUGUCCGCAAGUGUCUGCUACGUGCCACAGGUUUUACUCAGCUUUGGGCCAUAUUUACCUCAUGUUCCCACAGCACUGUGAUUUGGGUAUUCUUAUUCUGCAGAUCAGGUCGUAAGCUCAGAGAGGGUCUUUGCUCAAAGUUGUAUCUCUACUAAGCAGUAGAAUCAUGAUUUGAGCCCAGAUCUGUUUCAACUCUUAAGCCUGUGGGGGUUUUUUGUUGUUGUUUUUGUGUUUUUAUUUUCUACCUGGCUAAAUUUUCCAAGUUCCUAGGGAAGAGGGGAGCCAUUGGUCUUCGAAAGGAAGAGAGGAGGAAAGGAUGGGAAGCAUACCAAGAGAUGUUCAAAUGGUCUCUGCGUAUCCACGGGGAAGGAAUUGUGUCUGUCUUUCUACCACGGUAUCCUCACACCUGUUCUCCACACAGAACAGGAGCUCACUAAAUAUUUUUCAAUGAAUGGAUGAAUUAGUAAAUGAGUGAAACAUAAAAUAGCACAGAUAUUUUGAAGGGUACAGAGGAGAAAAUAAGGAACUUUUAACAAAUAAGCAUUAUGUCUUGAGAGGAG
ensembl:lncRNA